UACGGGGGGGCAAGCGUUGUUCGGAAUUACUGGGCGUAAAGGCUCGUAGGCGGCCAACUAAGUCGGAUGUGAAAUCCCCAGGCUUAACCUGGGAACUGCAUCCGAUACUGGAUGGCUUGAAUCCGGGAGAGGGAUGCAGAAUUCCAGGUGUAGCGGUGAAAUGCGUAGAUAUCUGGAGGAAUACCGGUGGCGAAGGCGGCAUCCUGGACCGGCAUUGACGCUGAGUGAGCGAAAGCUAGGGGAGCAAACGGG
rnacentral:rRNA from 1 species